rnacentral:rRNA from 1 species
UACGUAGGGCGCAAGCGUUGUCCGGAAUUAUUGGGCGUAAAGAGCUCGUAGGCGGCUUGUCACGUCGAUUGUGAAAGCCCGAGGCUUAACCUCGGGUCUGCAGUCGAUACGGGCUAGCUAGAGUGUGGUAGGGGAGAUCGGAAUUCCUGGUGUAGCGGUGAAAUGCGCAGAUAUCAGGAGGAACACCGGUGGCGAAGGCGGGUCUCUGGGCCGAUACUGACGCUGAGGAGCGAAAGCAUGGGUAGCGAACAGG